rnacentral:lncRNA from 1 species
UGCUUAUAUAAGUUAUGAAAUAGAAAGUGGCACCAGAACAAUCAUCUGACGAUGAUGCUAACCAUGACCAUCCGGCAACAACAGCAUCAUUACUGCUGGCGCUUUGAGAUCGGCGUUGCUAGACAACUAAUUUUGGAGAUUUUUUGUAGAAAUUUGAGGCGGUGGCGACAGAGGUAGUGGAUCUGAUAAUUGGGUUGGUUUUUGUUGGUGACUGCACUGUGUUUGCGGCGUUGCUUGACGGCAAAUUUUGGAGAUUUUUCAUUGAGGGAAUUUGAGGCGGUGACGGUAGCUUGUUGGAUUUGGUGAUGGUUUAUGCCGACUCCUCUAGCGACGACUUCUUGAUCGUCGUCGUGUGAAUAUUGAUCUGUCGGUAUCUGAAUGGUGUGAAUAUUGAUCUUCUAGUGGUGGCUGUAGCGGUAUGACGCGGUGUGUUUAGAUCUGGAUGGUGGUGGUGAUAGUGUUUGGAUGGUGGUGCGGCAAUAUUGUGUGGUUUACGGGGGUGGUCGUGUUGGCAGUGGAGACGUUGGUUAUGUGUUGUUGGUGUUUUUGGUUGCGAUGGUCGUGGUGGUUUUCCAUCAAAUUCGGUAUUUGUUGGUGUGUGUGUGUGUGUUGGUGGCAGUCGUGGUGGUUUCUGGUGACGAAGGUGGUGGUUGUUGGUUGUGGUUGCCUUGACUUUUGUUUUUGUCGGUGUAGGAGUUGGCAUCGAUAAUGGGGUGAAGGUGGUUGCAAGUGCCCGUGACGUCAAUGAUGGUGCAAUAGUGGUGGUAGUGGUGGUGAUGGUCUGUGACCACUAUUUGACGAGUGUGACCAACUAUUUAGUUAUCUAUGACCAUGUGACCUUGGCUACGGUAACGGGGUGAGGGUGGUCGUAAGUGACUCUGAUGACAGUGGCAGUGCGAUAGUGUUAGUGGCGGUGGUCUAUGACCACUAUUUUACUUAUGUGAUCAUUUGUGACUAAAUAUUUAACUGUCAUCAUUGAAGAUAUGUGACCUAUAAAUUUUUAGAUUUGUGACCACAAAAAUAAAUUGUGACCUAUAAAUUUUUAGAUAUGUGACCAUCGAAAUAAUCUGUGAUCCAUAAAAAAAAUUAUUUUUGACCCCAAAAUAAUCUGUAACUAAUUAAUUUAAUAAUAUGUGACUAAUAAAUAAAUUGUGGCCUAAAAUUUUGUAUCUGUGAC